ACGAACUGUGCAAACGUUAUUCGGAAUCACUGGGCUUAAAGGGUGCGUAGGCGGACGGGUAGGUGAGAUGUGAAAGCCCACGGCUCAACCGUGGAAUUGCGUUUCAAACCACUCGUCUUGAGGGGAUCAGAGGAGAGCGGAACUGAUGGUGGAGCGGUGAAAUGCGUUGAUAUUAUCAGGAACACCGGUGGCGAAGGCGGCUCUCUGGGAUCUUUCUGACGCUGAGGCACGAAAGCUAGGGGAGCGAACGGG
rnacentral:rRNA from 1 species